rnacentral:lncRNA from 1 species
UUAUUUCCGAGGAUGCCUUGGUGAACGUCGGUCUGAGCUCGGUCCCCGCCGACCGUGAGCCCGCCACCACUUCUUCUUUUUAGCUCUUUUCUCCUCUUUCGUUUCUUCUUUCCAUCAGUUUCUCGGUUUCUAACCAUCUCGUCCUUUUUGCAGAAAUCGACGACAUCAUGCAGUCGGACAAGGCAAUGGCUGUUAGUAGGGCGUCCCUACUCGAAGCGGUCCGGAGGAAGAAACGGACUCCUCCGAGCGGGGUCCCACCGGCGAAGAAGCCCCGCCAGCAGGCGA